GACGAACGCUGGCGGCGUGCUUAACACAUGCAAGUCGAACGGAAAGGCCCUGCUUUUGUGGGGUGCUCGAGUGGCGAACGGGUGAGUAACACGUGAGUAACCUGCCCUUGACUUUGGGAUAACUUCAGGAAACUGGGGCUAAUACCUGAUAGGAGCUCCUGCUGCAUGGUGGGGGUUGGAAAGUUUCGGCGGUUGGGGAUGGACUCGCGGCUUAUCAGCUUGUUGGUGGGGUAGUGGCUUACCAAGGCUUUGACGGGUAGCCGGCCUGAGAGGGUGACCGGCCACAUUGGGACUGAGAUACGGCCCAGACUCCUACGGGAGGCAGCAGUGGGGAAUACUGCACAAUGGGCGGAAGCCUGAUGCAGCAACGCCGCGUGCGGGAUGACGGCCUUCGGGUUGUAAACCGCUUUCGCCUGUGACGAAGCGUGAGUGACGGUAAUGGGUAAAGAAGCACCGGCUAACUACGUG
rnacentral:rRNA from 1 species